AACAAGGGCAUCAGGGGGCUUUCCUCCCCCCCUCCUCUCCUUCCUCUUCUUCCUUCUCCUGCGCUGCGGUGACUUUACAGAAGCAGCUCUUAGAGCGAAAGUCUCGUCUUCUGGAUCCUCAGGCUUGAAGUUGAAGAUGAUGUAACUGUCUGAUUAAGAAUCAGAUUGAAAACUGGUCCUAUGCUAAGAAGUUGGGUCCCAUAGGGCACCAUGAACGCUGGUUCUGCCACCCUGCAGGGUAAUGGAUAAAUGGUAUAUCUUGGUGUUUCCAUCGAAGCAGUUGCUUUGUAUUAUGAUCACCAAACUUUACCGUGCCACCUAGGUGUCUCCAGUCUGCAGCCUCCAGCUUCUAGUGGCCCAGGAUAG
rnacentral:lncRNA from 1 species